CCCACAGACCGUGAGAUCGUGACCUGAGCCGAAGUCAGAUGUUUAACCGACUGAGCCACCAGGUGCCCCUCGGAGCCUCUUCUUUUCGGAAGGCUUGCGGGGGACUGAGAGGAAGGGCAGCCGAGGUAAAGUAUGGGGGCCACCAGCUUCCCCAGGGAAAGGGAUUUCUAGGCCAAGACCUCGUGGGGUCUGUUUGUGUCCAUCUGGCGUGGUGAAAAGAAAAGGAAGCAAUUCUCAGCGUGUGUCUACGCCUGCACGAUAAAAGGAAGGAACUAUUGAUACACAGCACCUCGGAUGAAUCACAGAGGCCUCAGGCGGAGUGAAAACAGCCAGUCUCCAAAGGUCCCCCUGGAUCAUUGAAGUGGAGACGUCCCGUUGGUGGUUGAUUUCGACAUUCUGGAACUCAGAGAAGGCUGGCUUAGCAGUGCAGGCGUGGGGGUCACCGGCAUAUGAAUGGGGCUGAAGAGUCUGGGAGAUGGACACAUCUGACCGGGAAGAACUAGGAGACUCAGAGAAGGACCAAGGCAGAAGCCCAGAGCCCGCACACCUAAACGCAGUCACUCGCACACCGCCCUCACUAUUUAUUUGCCACAUCAGCCCCGUCUUGUUUUCUAGUAAAUAGAAAGUUCUUGAAGUUCUCCUA